AGAGUUUGAUCCUGGCUCAGAACGUACGCUGGCGGCACGCCUAACACAUGCAAGUCGAACGAAGUAGCAAUACUUAGUGGCAGACGGGUGAGUAACAUGUGGGUAUCUACCCUUUGGCCUGGAAUAACACGAGGAAACUUGUGCUAAUACCGGAUAAGUCUUUACGGAGAAAGCUUUAUGCACCAUUGGAUGAGCCCGCACUUGAUUAGUUUGUUGGUAGGGUAAUGGCCUACCAAGACUAUGAUCAAUAGCUGAUUUGAGAGGAUGAUCAGCCACAUUGGGACUGAGACACGGCCCAAACUCCUACGGGAGGCAGCAGUGGGGAAUCUUGCACAAUGGAGGAAACUCUGAUGCAGCGAUGCCGCGUGAGUGAAGAAGGCCUUUGGGUUGUAAAGCUCUUUCGUCGGGGAAGAAAAUGACUGUACCCGAAUAAGAAGGUCCGGCUAACUUCGUGCCAGCAGCCGCGGUAAUACGAAGGGACCUAGCGUAGUUCGGAAUUACUGGGCUUAAAGAGUUCGUAGGUGGUUGAAAAAGUUGGUGGUGAAAUCCCAGAGCUUAACUCUGGAACUGCCAUCAAAACUUUUCAGCUAGAGUAUGAUAGAGGAAAGCAGAAUUUCUAGUGUAGAGGUGAAAUUCGUAGAUAUUAGAAAGAAUACCAAUUGCGAAGGCAGCUUUCUGGAUCAUUACUGACACUGAGGAACGAAAGCAUGGGUAGCGAAGAGGAUUAGAUACCCUCGUAGUCCGUGCCGUAAACAAUGUGUGUUAGACGUUGGAAAUUUAUU
rnacentral:rRNA from 1 species